AGGGAACUUCAGAGAACAACUUCAUCCUGUGUUUUGGGAGACACGGAGGACUGAGCGAUGAGAAGUAGGUCAUCCUUUCCCCAUGGCUGCAUAAAAUAGAUUGAAUCAAAUGGAGCCCAUCAUGCUGGCUGCUUCUCUCCGCUGGGGCCAGGAGCAGCCUGACUGCAGAGUCAGCUGAAGACAGACAGCAGUCAGAGUGCUGGCCUUCUCCUUCCAAAAACACAGCCGUUCAAGUUCACAGAGACUGAAGAAUACGAUAAACACAGAUAAACGUGCUUGACGGUGAGUAAUUUUUGUCUGGGUACGGAAAGAAGAAUAACAGGAGAAAAGGCACCAUUUUCUUGGCCUGAAC
rnacentral:lncRNA from 1 species